AUGUAACCAUGGUUACAUGUAUGUAACCUUAGUUAGCUCAUCAUUAACUAAGGUUACCCUUUUGGGUAUCUACACAUUAGUCCUACACUUUUACGACAAUAUAUUGGUCCCCUUAACAACGUCCAUAAGACCACCAAUUUAGGCCAAACCAAAAGAUAACACAUAACAUAUAAGUAAUCCAUAUAUUGUUCAUAUGUAUGUAGAUAUAAGUCCAUAUAUCUAACAAUAAAAAGUGAAGAAAAUAUAUCAUAGAAUAUGUCAUUGAACAUACAAAAUAUGUCAUUGAAUAUGUCAUUAAGCAUUUGAGAAGAAGAUCAUGGAAGAUGAAUAGACAUCCAACAUAAUAUGAUAUUUAUCAUAAUACUCUCCCUUUGGAUGUCCAUAGAUAAUGUGCCUCAUUAAAACCUUACUAGGAAAAAAUCCUAUGGGAAAAAAUUCUAGUGAAGGAAAAAGAGUACACAUGUAUAGAAA
rnacentral:lncRNA from 1 species